GGAAAGAUGGCCGAGUGGUUCAAGGCGUAGAAUUGAAACUGCUAUGUAGGCUUCUGCUUACUGAGGGUUUGAAUCCCUCUCUUUCCA
rnacentral:tRNA from 1 species